GGGCAGGUGGUGGAACGGUAUACACGAAGGACUUAAAAUCCUUUGCCGGUAAUACGGCUUGUGGGUUCGAAUCCCACCCUGCCCA
rnacentral:tRNA from 1 species